UACGUGGGGUGCAAGCGUUGUCCGGAAUUAUUGGGCGUAAAGAGCUCGUAGGCGGUCUGUUGCGUCGGCUGUGAAAACCCGGGGCUCAACCCCGGGCCUGCAGCCGAUACGGGCAGACUAGAGUUCGGCAGGGGAGACUGGAAUUCCCGGUGUAGCGGUGAAAUGCGCAGAUAUCAGGAGGAACACCGGUGGCGAAGGCGGGUCUCUGGGCCGAUACUGACGCUGAGGAGCGAAAGCGUGGGGAGCGAACAGG
rnacentral:rRNA from 1 species